CAUGUUGUAAAUGGGAACUCGUGGUCGCUUACUCUCUAUAUAAUCUGCUCCCUAAUCACCUCGUGGUUGUCGGCUCUUGGUGAUUCUUCUGCUACUGGCUCCCAGGGGUUGGAUAUAACAUUCUUUCUCUCAUACCAUUGUGUGAUGAAGGCGCCUAGCUAACAGGUGGGAAGCCUCUUUCAUCAUUAACUGCGUGUACUACUAGCAAUACGGAGUCAUGUCAAAGCUUACUGAGUUUCAAAGAGGGCAAAUUAUUGGUGCUUGCUUAGCUGGUGCCUCUGUCUCUGAAGUUUCCGCUUUAUAUGUGGUGUCGCCAGGUACAAUAUCAAAGGUUAUGAUGGAAUAUACAGGUUCCAGGAAAACCUUGUCUGAUAAGCAAGAGCCCAUUCGACAUGGACAACUGACUGAAAGGGACAAAUAGACAUUGCACUGGAUUGUGACCCAGAAUAAGAAAACUGCUGUAAAAGUAACUGCAGAGCUCAAUCUGUCUUCCAAAGCUGUGCCCACAAACUGUGCGGAGGGAGCUUCAAAGGCAAAACAUUCUCGGGUGAGCUGCAAUUGCCAAACCACUAGUGACUGAUCCUAAUGCUCAGAAGAGUGGUGUAGUACCUAUAAAUCGUGGACUAUCAAUGGACUGUAAAAUGGUCUUCUGAAUUAAGCGUUCCCAACCACCGGAUGUGUUAAUUUGUGGCCUACAUUGUCUCAAGCUUGGGACCAUGACUGUCUUGUGGUUUGGGCAGCCGUAUCUUGCAGGCCCCAUCACCCUGAAAGGUAGAGUCUCUGCCAGCGACUAUGUUCAAAUUCUGGCUGACCAUGUGCUCCCCUUGAUGCCGACAUUGUUUCCCAAAGACGACACCAUUUACCAAGAUGAGAAUGCUGGGGUUGUCAAAUUGUGCUUUGAGCAUGCAGACAGCCUUGCACCUUGCCUGGGUGCUGCAGUUGCCAGACCUCAACAUAGAACCACUAUGGUCAAUUUUGGAGAACAAGGUUUGGGCUUGUUUUUCACCACCUAGCAUCUGUGAGAAUUGGAACAAUUUUUUGCAUGAAGAGUGGUAUCCGAUUACAUUGGCCACCAUCCAAGACUUGUAUUUGAUGAUUUCCAGGAGAAUUCAGGCCAUCUUUGAUGUCACAGGCAGUUCAGCACCAUGUUCGGUAAAUGGAUUCAGAGCAUAAGCAACCAGCCAUCAUUGAGUUCUUGAUGGUGGGUACAAUCUGUCUGACAUCCACAGAAGUUUUCAGCAUGUUUACAGAGAUGCCAAUAUUGAUGAGAGCAAUGUGCACAGGUGGAUGAAAAAGUUUAAAGCUGGGUAAACCAGCGCAGAGGAUAAUCCAUGCAGUGGGAAACCAACUGCAACCACUGACAUGAAUCGGUUAUUGAGCUUGCUGCAUAACUGGACUGGUCCUAAUGCCAUACAGAAGAUACUGGAAAACUCAAAAUAUCUAAAGUGUGUGCAAAGUGAUUACUUUGUUUUUCCUGGAGAUGUGUUUGGUUUCUAAUUUACAAGCAUUUGGGUAUGCAGUAGCUGUUGGUCAAGUGGGUGUUUGAAAUGUUUCAAUGCUUAUGGAAAAUAAAAAUUGAGUGGACCCCUCCCCAAA